rnacentral:rRNA from 1 species
UACGGCGGCCACAGCGUAGGGGAAACGCCCGGACCCAUACCGAACCCGGAAGCAAAGCCCUACAGCGCCAAUGGUACUGCCCCGGCCACGGAGUGGGAGAGUAGGACGCCGCCGAAC